GACGAACGCUGGCGGCGUGCUUAACACAUGCAAGUCGAACGAAGAGCGAUGGAAGCUUGCUUCUAUCAAUCUUAGUGGCGAACGGGUGAGUAACGCGUAAUCAACCUGCCCUUCAGAGGGGGACAACAGUUGGAAACGACUGCUAAUACCGCAUACGAUCUAAUCUCGGCAUCGAGGAUAGAUGAAAGGUGGCCUCUACAUGUAAGCUAUCACUGAAGGAGGGGAUUGCGUCUGAUUAGCUAGUUGGAGGGGUAACGGCCCACCAAGGCGAUGAUCAGUAGCCGGUCGGAGAGGAUGAACGGCCACAUUGGGACGGAGACACGGCCCAGACUCCUACGGGAGGCAGCAGUGGGGAAUCUUCCGCAAUGGACGAAAGUCUGACGGAGCAACGCCGCGUGAGUGAUGACGGCCUUCGGGUUGUAAAGCUCUGUUAAUCGGGACGAAAGGCCUUCUUGCGAAUAGUGAGAAGGAUUGACGGUACCGGAAGAGAAAGCCACGGCUAACUACGUG
rnacentral:rRNA from 1 species